CCUACGGGUGGCAGCAGUGGGGAAUAUUGCACAAUGGGGGAAACCCUGAUGCAGCGACGCCGCGUGAGUGAAGAAGGAUUUCGGUAUGUAAAGCUCUUUCAGUAGGGAAGAAAAUGACGGUACCUGAUUAAUAAGCCCCGGCUAACUACGUGCAAGCAGCCGAGGUAAUACGUAGGGGGCAAGGGUUAACCGGAUUUACUGGGUGUAAAGGGAACGUAGGCGGCAGCACAAGUCUGGAGUGAAAUGCCGGGGCUUAACCCCGGAACUGCUUUGGAGACUGUGUAGCUAGAGUGCAGGAGAGGUAAGUGGAAUUCCUAGUGUAGCGGUGAAAUGCGUAGAUAUUAGGAGGAACACCAGUGGCGAAGGCAGCUUACUGGACUGUAACUGACGUUGAGGCACGAAAGCGUGGGGAGCAAACAGGAUUAGAUACCCUAGUAGUC
rnacentral:rRNA from 1 species